rnacentral:rRNA from 1 species
AGAACGAACGCUGGCGGCGUGGAUAAGACAUGCAAGUCGAACGCGAUUUAUCAGGUUAGCAAUAACUUGGUGGAUUGAGUGGCGAAAGGGUGCGUAACACGUGGGAAUUUACCAAGAAGUGGGGAAUAGCUCGACGAAAGUCGAAUUAAUACCGCAUGUGAUCGAAAGAUCAAAGUCGGGGACCGCAAGGCCUGACGCUUUUUGAGAAGCCCGCGGCCCAUCAGCUAGUUGGUGAGGUAAUGGCUCACCAAGGCUAUGACGGGUAGCUGGUCUGAGAGGACGACCAGCCACACUGGAACUGAGACACGGUCCAGACACCUACGGGUGGCAGCAGUCGAGAAUUUUUCACAAUGGACGAAAGUCUGAUGGAGCGACGCCGCGUGGAGGAUGAAGGUUCUUGGAUUGUAAACUCCUGUCACUGCAGACAAGGGUGCCCUAUUUAAAGAUGUGGCAUUUG